AAACUAUUAAUGUAUGUUUUGAAAACAUUCUAGAGACGUAACUGUCUGUAGUUUU
rnacentral:tRNA from 1 species